rnacentral:rRNA from 1 species
UAGGGAAUAUUGCACCAUGGGCGAAAGCCUGAUGCAGCAACGCCGCGUGAGUGAUGAAGGCCCUCGGGUCGUAAAACUCUUUUCAAGAGGAAGAGGAAGGACGGUACUCUUGGAAUAAGCCUCGGCUAACUACGUGCCAGCAGCCGCGGUAACACGUAGGAGGCGAGCGUUAUUCGGAUUUACUGGGCGUAAAGCGCGUGUAGGCGGCUUAUUAAGUUGGAUGUGAAAGCUCCUGGCUUAACUGGGAGAGGACGUUCAAAACUAGUAAGCUUGAGUACGAGAGAGGAAAAUGGAAUUCCGGGUGUAGUGGUGAAAUGCGUAGAUAUCCGGAGUAACACCAGUGGCGAAGGCGAUUUUCUGGCUCGAGACUGACGCUCAGACGCGAAAGCUAGGG